UACGUAGGGUGCGAGCGUUGUUCGGAAUUACUGGGCGUAAAGGGAGCGUAGGCGGGAUUGUAAGUUAGAAGUUUAAUGCAUGGGCUUAACCCAUGGUCGGCUUUUAAUACUGCAGUUCUUGAGUAUGGGAGAGGGUGAUGGAAUUCCAGGUGUAGCGGUGGAAUGCGUAGAUAUCUGGAAGAACACCAGUAGCGAAGGCGGUCGCCUGGCCCAAUACUGACGCUGAUGCUCGAAAGCUAGGGGAGGCAAACAGGAUUAGAUACCCGGGUAGUA
rnacentral:rRNA from 1 species